CUGGCUCAGGAUGAACGCCGGCGGUGUGCCUAAUACAUGCAAGUCGUACGCACUGGCCCAACUGAUUGAUGGUGCUUGCACCUGAUUGACGUUGGAUCACCAGUGAGUGGCGGACGGGUGAGUAACACGUAGGUAACCUGCCCCGGAGCGGGGGAUAACAUUUGGAAACAGAUGCUAAUACCGCAUAACAACAAAAGCCACAUGGCUUUUGUUUGAAAGAUGGCUUUGGCUAUCACUCUGGGAUGGACCUGCGGUGCAUUAGCUAGUUGGUAAGGUAACGGCUUACCAAGGUGAUGAUGCAUAGCCGAGUUGAGAGACUGAUCGGCCACAAUGGAACUGAGACACGGUCCAUACUCCUACGGGAGGCAGCAGUAGGGAAUCUUCCACAAUGGGUGCAAGCCUGAUGGAGCAACACCGCGUGAGUGAAGAAGGGUUUCGGCUCGUAAAGCUCUGUUGUUGGAGAAGAACGUGCGUGAGAGUAACUGUUCACGCAGUGACGGUAUCCAACCAGAAAGUCACGGCUAACUACGUGCCAGCAGCCGCGGUAAUACGUAGGUGGCAAGCGUUAUCCGGAUUUAUUGGGCGUAAAGCGAGCGCAGGCGGUUGCUUAGGUCUGAUGUGAAAGCCUUCGGCUUAACCGAAGAAGUGCAUCGGAAACCGGGCGACUUGAGUGCAGAAGAGGACAGUGGAACUCCAUGUGUAGCGGUGGAAUGCGUAGAUAUAUGGAAGAACACCAGUGGCGAAGGCGGCUGUCUGGUCUGCAACUGACGCUGAGGCUCGAAAGCAUGGGUAGCGAACAGGAUUAGAUACCCUGGUAGUCCAUGCCGUAAACGAUGAGUGCUAGGUGUUGGAGGGUUUCCGCCCUUCAGUGCCGGAGCUAACGCAUUAAGCACUCCGCCUGGGGAGUACGACCGCAAGGUUGAAACUCAAAGGAAUUGACGGGGGCCCGCACAAGCGGUGGAGCAUGUGGUUUAAUUCGAAGCUACGCGAAGAACCUUACCAGGUCUUGACAUCUUGCGCUAACCUUAGAGAUAAGGCGUUCCCUUCGGGGACGCAAUGACAGGUGGUGCAUGGUCGUCGUCAGCUCGUGUCGUGAGAUGUUGGGUUAAGUCCCGCAACGAGUGCAACCCUUGUUACUAGUUGCCAGCAUUAAGUUGGGCACUCUAGUGAGACUGCCGGUGACAAACCGGAGGAAGGUGGGGACGACGUCAGAUCAUCAUGCCCCUUAUGACCUGGGCUACACACGUGCUACAAUGGACGGUACAACGAGUCGCAAGCUCGCGAGAGUAAGCUAAUCUCUUAAAGCCGUUCUCAGUUCGGACUGUAGGCUGCAACUCGCCUACACGAAGUCGGAAUCGCUAGUAAUCGCGGAUCAGCAUGCCGCGGUGAAUACGUUCCCGGGCCUUGCACUCACCGCCCGUCA
rnacentral:rRNA from 1 species